rnacentral:rRNA from 1 species
UGGUUGAUCCUGCCAGUAGCGUAUGCUUUACCCAAAGACUAAGCCAUGCAUGCCUCCGAAAAGAAGUAUUUGUAGCAUCGAGUCUGCGAUCGGCUCCACAUAUCAGUUGUAAUACAUAGCAAGUGCAAGGUCCCCUUCGGGGGACCAUGGAUAACCCCGGUAAUUCUGGGGCUAAUACGAGAAUUGAAGUAGACCACGUCCCUAACCUAACGGUCAAUGGGAUGAGGUCACGCGCGAGACAAAAAGGAAACACAGAGUGCUGAAUCGACUUACGUGACGACCGGGUGUCACUUUGGUGUUGCAUUCCCACCGGGAAAGGGUUCAAGAGUUUAGCCUUGCACCGCAGCUUACUGGAUGUUAAAAAAAAAGUUGCACCGCGAGGUUUUACGGAUGUUCCACUCAAACUUUCCACGGGCUUUGUCCAAAUUCCCUGGUUAACUCCGGGGAUGAGUGCUGGCGGGUAACGACCGCACAAAGUAAAGGUUGCAAUGUUGAACACACCAUACGGCGUUAUGCGAUCGGCCUCUGUCCUAUCAACUCGCGAUGCUGAUUUCUUGCACUAACAUGGUUGCAACGGGUACAGAGGAUAAGGGUUUGAUCCUGGAGAGUGGGCCUUAAAAAUUGCUCAUACUUCUAAGGAAGGCAGCAGGCGCGCAACGUUCCCAAUACACAAUGUGUGAGGGCGUAAAGGGUAAUACCAAUAUCUGACCAUUAGGUUGGGUAAUUGGAAUGAGGCAAUGCCAAACAUGUUACACGAGUAACGAUUAGAGGACAAGUCUGGUGCCAGCACCCGCGGUAAUUCCAGCUCUAAUAGCAUACUUUAAUGUUGCUGCAGUUAAAACGCUCGUAGUCGAAACCAGGGGACCUACCGGUAGGAUUGCAAUUCACGGGUUGAUCCGGCUCCAAAAAGGCUGUGUUCGGCAAGUGUUUAGUAGCUGGCUGGUGGUCCCUUAUCAUGUUGUUUUACCGCCAAAAAGUGGUUUGCCCAGUGAAAGAUUCCAACGAAAGGAGGUUUCCUAGCAGGGCAAAUCGCUUGGUGAAGCAGCUGCUGCCAUGAGUAAACUAGAGUGCUCGAGGCAGACCAAACAUUGGUCCUUGAAUAAUGCAGCAUGGAACAUCGGAGUUACGGGGAAAUUCCCUCGAUCCCAGUGUUUCGCAUGAUCGAGGAAUUCAAUUGGUAUAAAGAGGUGUUCGGGGGCAGCCGAAUUCCCGGGCUAGGGGUGAAAUCCGUUGACCCUGGGAAGUCGUCCUAAUGCGAAAGCAGCUGUCAAGGGCACUCUCGUUGAUCAAGAGCGAAAGUUGAGGGCGCGAAGACGAUCAGAUACCGUCGUAGUCUCAACUAUAAAUGAUGCCAACUGGGGAUAGGUAACCCCGUUUAAUAGACUCAACCUGGACCCGUGCGAAAGCGAAGCUUUUGGGUUCCGGGGGGAGUAUGGUCGCAAGUCUGAAACUUAAAGGAAUUGACGGAAGGGCACACCAGGAGUGGAGCCUGCGGCUUAAUUUGACUCAACACGGGAAAACUCACUAGGUCAGGAUACGAUUACGAAGGACAAACUGAAAGCUUUUUCCCAAUUAAGUACAUAGUGGUGCAUGGCCGUUCUUAGUUCGUGGAGUGAUUUGUCUGGUCUAUUCCGAUAACGAGCGAGAUCCGAACCCUUAUUUAGGUAAGGUGCAACAUACUCGUCCCUUUCGGGGGAUGAGCAACAAAAUGAUUGUGCAUACAAAUCAUUCUUCUUAGAGGUAUCCAAGGCGACAAGUCUUGUGAAACUCGGGCGAUAACAGGUCUGUGAAUGCCCUUAGAUGUCCUGGGCCGCACGCGCGCGACACUGCACCAUACUGUGAGUUUACCCUUAGGGAUUUACCCGACGCAAACGCGUAGGGAAAUCAAUAAAAUGGUGCAUGACAGGGCUAGACCCUUUGUAACUAUAAGUCUCAAACGAGGAAUUUCCAGUAGUCGUGGGUCAUUAGCCCCGGCCGACUGCGUCCCUGCCCUUUGUACACACCGCCCGUCGCUGCUACCGAUUGGGUGCUGUGGUUAAGCCUACGGAUUCAAACCAGGGUAAUCGCGUGAAGCUUUAAGCCCAGGCAGGAGAAGUAGAACCUACCUCAGCAUCUAGAGGAAGCAGAAGUCGU